UUCUAAAAAAAGCAUAAACAUUAGGCACGAGGAAGUUGCUGAGAAGUGAAAAGCCUUCUAAGCUGUUGAUCCUGUUUGCUGCUUUGAAAUUUUCCAGGAAAUCUUCCUUUUCAAUCUUUUUCACUGAGGGAUGAGCGCAUGGCGUAGGAGGCUGGCGGAGACGGAGUCUUAUCUAUCGCGGGGCAGAGCAGCACUCUCUGAAGCUCAGCACACUCAGGUGCUUCAUCUCGUGUGUCCUCUGCCAGUAAGCCUAAACCCUUAUGAAACAGCGGGACGGCUUGAACAGGAGAUCAUAUGGGGAAGUGGUGUCUGAUAAAAGCAGAUAGGGAGGAGCAUAAUAAUCAGAAACAGCGUGCAGCUUUGGGGUUCCUGUCCAAAGCCGGACGAGAGAACUGUCUGAGGUGAGUAUACAUUAACAACACAGGGCAAACCCCACUGUCAUAAAUGCUACAUAACACUGUCCGCAUCAUUAACAGUCACAACAACGGCUGCUGUCAGUUUAUAUGACAGUUAGCUUGUGACACAUUGAUGACACAGAGUUAUUCUGAGGUAAGCUAGAGUUGGCUAGUGUUGUACUGAGCAAAUAAAACAUCUAUACAUACUGUAUAUCUAUAGUGUUGUGACUGAGUCAUGUCCUGUCCUGUAAGCACAGUUUAGUCUGUAGCUCAUCUCUACCUUGGCAUAGCUUUGGCAUUAGGAGGUAACAUGGUAGCGCCCUGUUAGGGGCCAUUUGAAAACAAGCGUCUUUGUUCAUUUUAUGAACAUUAGGGAGUAUUUCCCGAGGCCUUGGGCCAGUGAAUAUAGGGGACUAACUAAUACAGAGUUUAAGUCAGCUAUUCAUAUUUCAAGUUUGACAAAUAACAGUUUUUUUAUAUACUGCUAGUGUAAUUUGAAGAAAAGCACCCAUAGAUGUGUAUAUUUUCUGGGUUAUGUACAUGUCUAGGCCCAAACGCAGGUACGCUCCCCUCUUUCAAUUAUAGUGAGAUCCACUUUGAAGUGCAGCUUUGCAGUCGUACAAACUUACAUGAGCUAAAGCUUUAGCUUAUUCCAAUACGAGAGAAGGUGCUUGUAGCAUGUAGGCCGACGCAUUAUGGUUUUUCCAUCACAUUUUGUUUUAGCGUUUUUUCAAACGUUAAAAAAAAAAAAAGAAAACUGAGUAGACUUAUUCACUAGUCUAGCUUCACAGGCUGAGUUCAGGUUUGAGACAGACUUUGAAAUGAGGGUAGACUACAAAAAUGACCAAACAGCAGCAUUCAGUUUAACAAAGAAGACGAAUGACAAAGAUAAUUAUGAUAUAUUGUCCUAGGCUUGUUCUGCUAAUAUAAAAAGGUAUAAAUAACACGUCCUGUUUUGGUUAAACACAGUUAAGAUGAAGAAAGUCAUUUGAAGAUAAAGCAAAAAAAAUAUAUA